rnacentral:tRNA from 1 species
UUUCUGGUGGUCUAGUGGUCAGGUUUUGGCACUCUCACUGCUGCAGCCUGGGUUAAAUUCCCAGCCAGGGAA